UUAGUGCGGCCAGAUAUGUGGAAUUCUAUAAAGCGAUGACAACAGGGGUGUGGUCGGCGUAAAGCGCGGGCCAGUGAAAUGAGUACUGUGGGAGGACGCAGUUACUCUUUCGAUGAAACUAUACAACUUGACCGGAGAUUGGCUUGGCGAAUUUGAUUAACGAAGUGUUCCUGCGGCAAGGGUUGGGUCUAAUGUGGUCGUGACGCAUUAGGAGGC